GGCUCGCAUCGGGACGCGACCCAUGUAACAGCAGCAGCAACGAGCAGCUCCCCACCUCCUCACCCUUUGCCACUCCGAUCGCGGCCGCCCCCGCCGCCGGCGGUGUUCCACUCCAAUGUGGCGUCGCGGGGCGCACGCCGACGCCGACGCCGCGCACCACCUCCCCACCGCGGGCCCGGGCGCGUCCUCCUCCUCCUCUGCCGCCGCCGCGGGCGCGGCGCGGAGGCGGCGGCGCCCCGGGCUGUCGUGCCGGCCGAGCCACCUCUUCUUCGCGCUCCUCGUCGCGCUAUUCACGGCCUCCCUGCUCGUCGUGUGGCAGCUUCUCCCCAUCGGCGACGGCGACGGCGACGCGGCGGCGGAGGGGGGCGGGGAGCCGCCGCCGCCGCCGCCGGAGGGAGGCGACGGCGGGGUGAUGCGGUUCUCGGCCUCGCGCGUGGCGCUGCGCGCGUUCGACGGCGAGAGCCGGCUCGCGGCCGCGAGAUCCGAGCGGCGGCGGUGGGCCGGCCUCGCGCCCGUCAGGGUGGCCCUCGCUGUUGGAAAUUUGAACGUAGAUGCACAAUCCCUGAUGCUUGCAACUGUUGCAAAAGGUCUUGUGGGUCUGGGUUAUGAGGUCGAGGUUUUAGCAUUAACGGAUGGGAAAGCACGUGAUAUUUGGGAAAUUUUUUGCCUUGUAAAUAUUGCGAACAUCGGGACUUUGAAAUAUGUUGACUGGUCAAAGUACAAUGCUGUGUUAUUAAGCUCUCUUGAAGGCAAAAGGGUUGUUUCAAUUCUUAUGCAGGAACCUUUUCGACUUAUACCAGUUGUAUGGCUUAUACACGAAGACACUCUUGGACAACAUCUUAGAAGUUAUGCAGAGUCAAAUGAGUCAAUUUCAAAUGUCGUUGAGGAUUGGAGGGCUCAUUUUCAUGCAUGCACUUAUGUUGUGUUUCCAGAUAGCUACCUUCCUUUCUUAUACUCGCCCCUUGAUUCUGGGAACUUUUUAGUGAUUUCUGGUUCUCCAGUUGAUAUCUGGGCUGCUAAAAGAUUUGGCUCAUCACAUUCUGAAGAGACUAUAAGAAAGCAGCAUGGGAUUAAAGAAGAUGAUGUUGUUAUUUUGGUCAUUGGAAGCUACUUGUUUUUUGACCACUUACCAUCGGAUUAUGCUACAGUCAUGCGUUCAUCAGCUCCACAUAUUUUGGAUAUAGCAAAAUCUAAAAAUCUGAGGGUGCAGUUUGUUUUUUUCUGUGGAAAUGGCUCUGAUGCCUACAACUCUGCUUUCCAGGAACUUGCCUCACACAUGGGUUUACCUGAUGGCUCCAUAAAGCAAUUUUCCAUGACUCACGAUAUUAGGAACCUGUUAAUGUUCGUGGAUGUUGUUGUCUAUGGAUCUUUAAGACAAGAACCUGGUUUCCCUCCUCUGUUAUUGCGGUCCAUGUCCUCUGAGAUUCCAAUUGUUGCACCAAAUCUUACUGCUAUAACAAAAUAUGUCACUGAUGGUGUCCAUGGCUUCCUUUUCGAUUCUGCCGACCCAAGCACAGUUUCUUCAGCUUUUGUACAAAUUUUAGGAGAAAAAAGACUUUUGGAUACUGCCUAUUCUGUUGCUUUGGAAGGGAAGCUACUUUCCAAGAACAUGUUAGCACAUGACUGUAUUACAGCUCAUAUUAAGCUUCUUGAAAGUGUCAUUCAUUUUCCUUCAUACGCAAAAUUACCAUCUUCUGUUUCUAAAGUUCAAGAAAGAACAUGGUUAUGGGAUCCUUUUGAGAUGAAAGCUGCACUAGAAAAUAAUUUGUUGGAAGGUGAAAGCCAUACUAGCACAAAGGCUGUUGAUAUUCUUAGAGAAUUCCCUCAGAGUAACCAAACAACUUAUUCUGAUACCAAUGGUACUUCUUCAUAUGAUUACCCUAGAUUAUCUGAUUGGAAUGAGUUAAGUGAAAUUGAAAUCUUUGAAGACAUUGAAAGGAGAGAAAUGGAGGAGAUUGAUGAAAGGGUGGAAAGGCCUUUGUUAUCAUGGGAUGAAGUCUACAGAAAUGCUCGAAAAUCAGAAAGGCUAAAGCCGGAAGGAAAUGAACGUGAUGAAGGUGAACUCGAAAGGACUGGGCAACCUGUGUGUAUAUAUGAGAUUUACAAUGGAGAGGGUGCAUGGCCAUUUUUACACCAUGGAUCUUUAUACCGCGGUGUUACACUUUCGAAAGGAGGCAGGCGACCGAGGUCAGAUGAUGUUGAUGCUGUUACCAGGCUUUCAGUUCUAGACAACCCAUACUACCGUGAUCUUCUUUGUGAAUUGGGUGCUAUGUUUGCCAUUGCAAACAGAGUUGAUACUGUACAUAAGUUACCAUGGAUAGGUUUCCAGUCAUGGCGGGCUGCUGGAAGAAAGGUAUCCUUGUCUGAAAGUGCUGAAGAAACCUUAGAGGAAACUACGACUGGAGAGAAUAAUGGGGAUGUCAUAUACUACUGGUCACCAAUGGAUAUUGACCAGACUUCUGACUUUUGGUCGAUGUGCGAUUCCCUAAAUGCGGGCAAUUGCAGAUCUCUUUUUGAAGAUGCAUUUAGGACAAUGUAUGGACUGCCCGAGAAUGUAUCUGCCCUUCCACCAAUGCCCAAUGAUGGCGACCGUUGGUCUACUCUACAUAGCUGGUUGAUGCCCACCCCAUCAUUUUUGAAAUUCGUCAUGUUCUCAAGAAUAUUUGUCGAUUCACUUCAUAGUUUGAAUGUGUACCGUACUGAGCCAGCCUCAUGUUUGCUUGGAGCAUCAGAACCUGAGAAAAGGCAUUGCUAUUGUCGAAUCUUGGAAGUCCUUGUAAAUGUUUGGGCGUAUCACAGUGGAAGGAAGAUGGUCUACCUUGACCCUUUUACUGGGGAUAUCAGAGAGCAGCAUCCACUUGAUGAAAGAACUGAGAUGUGGGUUAAGUUCUUCGAUUUCACCCUUCUGAAGAGCAUGGAUGAGGAUCUAGCAGAAGAAGCUGAUGACGGCAUGCAUCCCGGAAAUGAUCAAUGGCUGUGGCCAUUAACUGGCCAGGUGUUCUGGUCUGGCAUUGCUGACCGGGAAAGGGAGGAAAAAUAUAUAAAAAAGCUGGACAAAAAGCUCAAGAACAAGGUGAAAUUGCUCGAAAGGCAGAAGUCUGGGUACAAGCAGAAGCCGCUGGGACAAUGACCGUGACUGAAGCUAUAACAACCCGAUAUUUCAUUUGAUCCACAUCGGGUGCACCUUCAAUCAGACGGGCUCUUGCUUCCAGUUUUCUGAGGCAGCAAUCCGAGAUGAUCUCGUGAAAGAAGAGGUGCAUCACAAAAGGCAAAGUUGUUGUGAAUAUGCAUUGUUUUUACCCCUCCUUGAUCUCCCUCUCCGAAGGAGCUUGGUGAAGUUGGAGGAUAUUGGUAGGAUGGGGAAUCCGAAUCACUGAUCAGUUUUUUGUUCCUGUUCGCAGAAAUUGUGCCAUAUGCUUAUAAUCAUUCUUUAUUUGUCUUCCCCAUCUGCCUUGAAAGGGUAGCCAGAUCAGAAGCGAAAUUUUGGUAGGAUUCAAACUGACCAUCGUUGUAUAUGUACAUUCCCAGGAGAGGGAGGCAUCACCACGGAAGUAAUAAUAAUCAUGUUUCUUGAGAGAGCAUGCUGUUCUGCACUGCUGCUGCUGUCGUAAGGUUUCUCUCCUUCGUGGCUUGGUGGCUUUGCUGCUUGCGAUGACCCAUGACCGUUGGCGUGUGCGAGCGGAGCCGCGUGAGUUGGACAGCGAUGUGGGAGUUGUCGAGGUGUAAAAAAUAUUUGAUAAAAACAAUCGUGUAACAAAAUUUGUUAACCAAAGCUCGAUGGGAGGUUGCCUGA